UACAGAGGUCCCAAGCGUUGUUCGGAUUUACUGGGCGUAAAGGGUGCGUAGGCGGUUGGGUAAGUCUGACGUGAAAUCUCCGGGCCUAACCCGGAAACUGCGUUGGAUACUAUUUGACUAGAGGAAUGGAGGGGAGACUGGAAUACUUGGUGUAGCAGUGAAAUGCGUAGAUAUCGGGAAGAACACCAGUGGCGAAGGCGGCGGCCUGGACAGAACCUGACGCUGAGGCACGAAAGCUGGGGGAGCGAACAGG
rnacentral:rRNA from 1 species